CAGCCGCCACGGUAAUACGGAGGGUGCAAGCGUUAAUCGGAAUUACUGGGCGUAAAGCGCACGCAGGCGGUCUGUCAAGUCGGAUGUGAAAUCCCCGGGCUCAACCUGGGAACUGCAUUCGAAACUGGCAGGCUAGAGUCUUGUAGAGGGGGGUAGAAUUCCAGGUGUAGCGGUGAAAUGCGUAGAGAUCUGGAGGAAUACCGGUGGCGAAGGCGGCCCCCUGGACAAAGACUGACGCUCAGGUGCGAAAGCGUGGGGAGCAAACAGGAUUAGAUACCCCGGUAGUCCCUGUCUCUUAUAC
rnacentral:rRNA from 1 species